AAACAGGUGCUAAUACCGGAUAAGAAAGCAGAUCGCAUGAUCAGUCUUUUAAAAGGCGGCGUAAAGCUGUCGCUAUGGGGAUCGGCCCCCGCGGUGCAUUAGCUAGUUGGUAAGGUAAAGGCUUACCAAGGCGAUGAUGCAUAGCCCGAGUUGAGAGACUGAUCGGCCACAUUGGGACUGAGACACGGCCCAAAAACUCCUACGGGAGGCAGCAGUAGGGAAUCUUCCACAAUGGACGCAAGUCUGAUGGAGCAAACGCCGCGUGAGUGAAGUAAGGUUUUCGGAUCGUAAAGCUCUGUUGUUGGUGAAGAAGGAUAGAGGUAGUAACUGGUCCUUUAUUUGACGGUAAUCAACCAGAAAGUCACGGCUAACUACGUGCCCAGCAGCCGCGGGUAAU
rnacentral:rRNA from 1 species